CCUACGGGAGGCAGCAGUGAGGAAUAUUGGUCAAUGGCCGAGAGGCUGAACCAGCCAAGUCGCGUGAAGGAUGACUGCCCUACGGGUUGUAAACUUCUUUUGUCAAGGAAUAAAAAGAGGCACGCGUGCCUGUUCGCGUGUACUUGAAGAAAAAGGAUCGGCUAACUCCGUGCCAGCAGCCGCGGUAAUACGGAGGAUGCGAGCGUUAUCCGGAUUUAUGGGGUUUAAAGGGUGCGUAGGCGGAUGUUAAAGUCAGCGGUAAAAGUGGGGGGCUCAACGUCGACUCGCCGUUGAAACUGGGUGUCUUGAGUGGAGGAGAGGUAGGCGGAAUGCGUGGUGUAGCGGUGAAAUGCAUAGAUAUCACGAAGAACCCCGAUUGCGAAGGCAGCGUACCGGCGGCGAACUGACGCUGAUGCACGAAAGCGUGGGUAUCGAACAGGAUUAGAUACCCUAGUAGUC
rnacentral:rRNA from 1 species